rnacentral:tRNA from 1 species
UUAAUUGAAACCAAAAAGAGGUGUAUUAUUGUUAAUAAUAUUAUUGAGAAUAAAUUUUCCAAUUAAG